AAACAAAUCGGAAUAAUCUCGUCAGGGGGAUUAGCAUAUUUGGUAUACUACAAUUAUCAGGUAAAAUUGCUUGCUCAGGAGGUGAAAAAGAAGAAAUGGAAUUUAUCUUAUGUUCAUACAUCAUUAUCUAUAGCAGAGGCCGCUCAUGAUGAAGUAAACAAAUCCUUGGAUCCCACUCGAAAAAAGAUAGAAGAUCUUGAGGUGCCUUUGAAGGAGUCUCAAGAAGGAUGGAAGAAAUAUGAGGAAUGUUUUCCUGAGAUGCGUCUUGAGAACCUUGCUUUGUCCAAUGAGUAUGUAAAAUCAUUGGAGGAAAGUUACUCUAUUUCUCAGGACUCUUUUGAAAUUUCUUUGAAGCGGCUCAAGAAUUUCUAUCAUAUUGAGCCGAUCUCUCAAGAGAAAGUUCAUUUUGACCGAGCGUUGAUGACGAGAAAGUGGUUUCCUUGGUGGGUUAACACUUUUUUAUUCUAG